UUGAAGUUUCCACCUGGGUUUCUUAGAACACUCCUGUGAUACUGGACCCACCAUACCGGAGAAGCCACAGAUUUGCAUCCUGUGUGAGAGCAUCCUCACACCCCAUCUUUCCAGACAUUUCUGCCAAAGUGUCCAACACAUGAGUGAAGCCAGCGUGGAGCUCCAUACCAGCCCUCCAUCCAGCCCACCGAUUCACCUAAGUUGUUAUUUGGAGUACGUGGGCUGUAUGUUUUCUCUCUAACCUUUCUGUUGUAAAUUUCUCCAAGAAAGGAAACCAAAUAGAAUCUUGGAGAAGAUGUUCCCAGUUGGGAUGUCUUACUAAAGGAAGUUGAUCCAAAAUGCACAGGGGAUGGACUGUGCUGGGUGCUGUGUCUCACCAACCAGAUUUUUACUUCUCUUGGAAAUAUGAGUGUUGAGAAGUCACGUGUGAGCCGUUUUCUGGGAAUUUCCCUGAGAUAAAAAGUACCACCUCCUUCAAGUUUCAGACGCCUGCUCAGUGGUCACAUAUCUAAUGAUGGUGGACGCAGGAGUGUGAAGUUCCAUCCCUCUGAGUCGUUGCUCAUCAAUCAUACUGGGAAGCUGACUUUUA
rnacentral:lncRNA from 1 species